AAAAACUCCGGUGGUAUGAGAUGGGCCCGCGUCUGAUUAGCUAGUUGGCGGGGUAACGGCCCACCAAGGCAACGAUCAGUAGCCGACCUGAGAGGGCGACCGGCCACAUUGGGACUGAGACACGGCCCAAACUCCUACGGGAGGCAGCAGUGGGGAAUAUUGCACAAUGGGGGAAACCCUGAUGCAGCGACGCCGCGUGAGCGAUGAAGUAUUUCGGUAUGUAAAGCUCUAUCAGCAGGGAAGAAGAUGACGGUACCUGACUAAGAAGCCCCGGCUAACUACGUGCCAGCAGCCGCGGUAAUACGUAGGGGGCAAGCGUUAUCCGGAUUUACUGGGUGUAAAGGGAGCGUAGACGGCGGUGCAAGCCAGAUGUGAAAGCCCGGGGCUCAACCCCGGGACUGCAUUUGGAACUGUAUGGCUGGAGUGUCGGAGAGGCAGGCGGAAUUCCUAGUGUAGCGGUGAAAUGCGUAGAUAUUAGGAGGAACACCAGUGGCGAAGGCGGCCUGCUGGACGGUGACUGACGUUGAGGCUCGAAAGCGUGGGGAGCAAACAGGAUUAGAUACCCUGGUAGUCCACGCCGUAAACGAUGACUACUAGGUGUCGGGCAGCAAAGCUGUUCG
rnacentral:rRNA from 1 species